AGUAAAGAUUAAAUGUGCUUCUCAAAGGCAGCCACUUCAUGCUGCUAUGUCGAAAGGGCCAUUAUUAUUAUUAUAUUUUAAUGGUAAAAGAGAAAAGGAGAGAGGUUGAGCGAGCGAGAGAGAAGCUAGGUGUGAUGAUGACAGACUAGCUUUUCUGAGAGGAAAAGGAAAAGGGAAGGGAGAGAAAAAGGAGAGCCUCUGAGCUCAACGGAGGAUUGUGCCUGAGAAGAACCCACAGAGGUGAGAAAAAAGUUGUCUUGAAGGUGGGGGUGGGGGGGCUGCUAAACAGACACUGUACAGAGGGAGAAGAGACAUAAUUUAGCUGUGUUGCUAGUAUGAUUCCAUUUUUAAAGGAGGGGAGGGGGAGAGUCUAGAGCUCUAACUGUUUUUAGUUGCAUAUGGAAAUAUCUAAAAAAAUAUUUAGCAUUUUUACUAAGUGCGUUGAGGCCUCUCCAGUGUCCUCCUGGCUGUGGCUGCUUUGUCAUUCUCUUUGACUAGCCAGCCAUCUACCUUGCUCAGGCCUGGAAUAAAAGAAGAACAAGAAGAAGAAAGAAAUGAAAUGAAAAACAGAAAGAAAAAGGAGAAGAAACAUUUGUAAAAGGGUCAUCUUCCCAUCUGCCUCCCCUCCUUUUCCUUUCAUUUUUGGUGGCGGCACAGGAAAGCCCCACUUCCAGUCUGAUGAGGAAAGCGACAAUCUAUCAGCCUGGUGCUCGCUCUUGGUGAUUUGGCCUUGACUUCAGCCAAGCAGCUGAUGCAGACGAAGCCUCCGUUUGCAGGACUGGCAAAGUGCACGCUAAAGAAAGAAGGAAGAAAUUUUUCAAAAAGCAGCUCUGGGGAGGUUUCAUACUCCCCCCCCCCCCCCGCCUUUUUUUAAUUUUUAAGUGAAUAUUUUCCAAAUUUGAUCAGUUCCAGCCCCUCCCUCCACUCCCACCCAACUGCCCUUUUUUCUCUCGUCAAAGCAUAAGCUACAGAGUUACAGUCUCGAGAUUUGGUGUAUCGCUUCCUGCCCCCGCCUCCCCUCCCCGCCCCCGUUCUCCGUCCUCUAUUGAAACACCUCGCCCAGCCUAGCGCACUGAGAGCUCUCAUUUUCCCCCCUUGCUCGGGAUGGUGCCACAGGAGGCUGUGCGGGCCCCGCUCCGCUUCGAAUGGAUACAGUUAAGCUAAUGAUCUCGAGAGGAUAUCGUCCUGGAUAAGGGUGGAGCCUACGCCCAAAAACAAGAUUACCUGAAAGAGAAAAGAAAGGGGGAAAACACACAGAGAUACAGUCGGGGAGGCCACAUGAAGAUGGAGGCAGAGACAGGAGUGAUGAGCCUGCAAGCCAAGGAAUGCCAAGGGCUGCCAGCAGCCAUGAGAAGCUGAGAGACACAGAGAACGAGUCCUCUGCCAGAGCCUCCAGAAGGAACUAACCCUGUCAAUACCUUGAUUUCGGACUUCUGGACUCCAGAACUAUAACCCUCCUUCCUCCACCUCACAAAAACUCACAAGCUGCAACCCUUCUGAUGUCCACUCCCACACAAACCAGCUUCAGGCCUUUUUCAAGUGGAUGCUGUGGGGCACCACCUCCUUGAGGACCAAGGCACUCCAGCUGCCAGGAAUUUGGCUGCUAACCUCACACAGCUGAGCCUUCCAUGAAAAUUGCUCUCUGCCAAAGAGAACUUCCUAGUCCAAGGUCAUGUCUACUCUCCAGAGAUGUGACUGGAGUGAUUUGCACCCGGAUGCCUAGACUCGCCAUCUGCUCAAAGACUGCUCAGAAAGCCCUCCCAUGCAUUCCCCUGCUGCAUACCAGCCCACUCUGCCUGCAGCUGCUGUCUGCAGGACUUCAUAUCUAUGCCACACUGUGUAAAAGCUGUGCUUCAAGAAAUCACAAAAACAUUUUCCUGCACCUACUACACAGCCUGAGUGCGGCAUAAGUUGACCUUGCUUGCUAAGAAAUGGGGCAAGAAAUGCUUUUUUGUGUGUGUCAUGUCUGUUUGUUUUUCAAUUAAGAGAGGAAAGCAUUAGGCAGAUGGAAUGUACAUGUGAGGAUGAGGAGACAGAAAACAAGUAGCCCUUUCCAUCAAGAUAGAGGGUUUUCUGGGGUUGCUGGCUAUUGAAUGUCACUCCUGAUUUCUCUUUCCAAGGCACUGUACCACCAGCCUACUGAGAUUGUGUGGGAGCUUUCAUGGGGGUUGUAUUUCACUGAUGAAAAUAAAUUUUUUGCAUAAUGUG
rnacentral:lncRNA from 1 species